CAAAAGUCCUUAGAGUUUGAUCCUGGCUCAGGAUGAACGCUAGCUACAGGCUUAACACAUGCAAGUCGAGGGGCAGCAUGACGAUAGCUUGCUAUUGUUGAUGGCGACCGGCGCACGGGUGAGUAACGCGUAUCCAACCUUCCCGUUGCUAGGGGAUAACCUUGCGAAAGUAAGACUAAUACCCUAUGAAGUUCUUCGCAGGCAUCUAAAGAGAACCAAAGAUUUAUCGGCAACGGAUGGGGAUGCGUCUGAUUAGGUUGUUGGCGGGGUAACGGCCCACCAAGCCUACGAUCAGUAGGGGUUCUGAGAGGAAGGUCCCCCACAUUGGAACUGAGACACGGUCCAAACUCCUACGGGAGGCAGCAGUGAGGAAUACUGGUCAAUGGACGGAAGUCUGAACCAGCCAAGUAGCGUGCAGGAAGACGGCCCUAUGGGUUGUAAACUGCUUUUAUGUGGGAAUAAAGUGAGGGACGUGUCCCUUUUUGUAGGUACCACAUGAAUAAGGACCGGCUAAUUCCGUGCCAGCAGCCGCGGUAAUACGGAAGGUCCGGGCGUUAUCCGGAUUUAUUGGGUUUAAAGGGAGCGUAGGCCGUCUUUUAAGCGUGUUGUGAAAUACUGUCGCUCAACGACAGAGGUGCAGCGCGAACUGGGAGACUUGAGUGCGCGGAAUGCAGGCGGAAUUCGUCGUGUAGCGGUGAAAUGCUUAGAUAUGACGAAGAACUCCGAUUGCGAAGGCAGCUUGCAGUAGCGUAACUGACGCUGAAGCUCGAAAGUGCGGGUAUCGAACAGGAUUAGAUACCCUGGUAGUCCGCACGGUAAACGAUGGAUGCCCGCUGUUGGUCUGAAUAGGUCAGCGGCCAAGCGAA
rnacentral:rRNA from 1 species